rnacentral:tRNA from 1 species
GAGGGUAUAGCUUAAGUCGUAGAGUUCAUGCUUAGUGUGCAUGAGGUCCUGGGUUCAACCCCCAAUACCUCCA